rnacentral:rRNA from 1 species
GAUGAACGCUGGCGGCGUGCCUAACACAUGCAAGUCGAACGGAGAUUACGGACGGAAGUUUUCGGAUGGAAGCCUGUAAUUCUUAGUGGCGGACGGGUGAGUAACGCGUGGGCAACCUGCCCUAUACAGGGGGAUAGCAGCUGGAAACGGCUGGUAAGACCGCAUAAGUCGGUUAAAUCGCAUGAUUUGAUCGGGAAAUGAGCAAUCAGGUAUAGGAUGGGCCCGCGUCCGAUUAGCCAGUUGGCAGGGUAAAAGCCUACCAAAGCGACGAUCGGUAGCCGGACUGAGAGGUCGGACGGCCACAUUGGGACUGAGACACGGCCCAAACUCCUACGGGAGGCAGCAGUGGGGGAUAUUGCACAAUGGAGGAAACUCUGAUGCAGCGACGCCGCGUGAGUGAAGAAGUAUUUCGGUAUGUAAAGCUCUAUCAGCAGGGAAGAUGAUGACGGUACCUGACUAAGAAGCCCCGGCUAACUACGUGCCAGCAGCCGCGGUAAUACGUAGGGGGCAAGCGUUAUCCGGAUUUACUGGGUGUAAAGGGAGCGCAGGCGGUUUUGCAAGUUGAGAGUGGAAGCAGGGGGCUCAACCCCCUGACUGCUCCCAAAACUGUAAAACUUGAGUAUGGGAGAGGCAGGCGGAAUUCCUAGUGUAGCGGUGAAAUGCUUAGAUAUUAGGAAGAACACCGGUGGCGAAGGCGGCCUGCUGGACCAAAACUGACGCUGAGGCUCGAAAGCGUGGGUAGCAAACAGG